rnacentral:rRNA from 1 species
AUGCAAGUCGAGCGGGGGAAGGUAGCUUGCUACUGGACCUAGCGGCGGACGGGUGAGUAAUGCUUAGGAAUCUGCCUAUUAGUGGGGGACAACAUCUCGAAAGGGAUGCUAAUACCGCAUACGUCCUACGGGAGAAAGCAGGGGAUCUUCGGACCUUGCGCUAAUAGAUGAGCCUAAGUCGGAUUAGCUAGUUGGUGGGGUAAAGGCCUACCAAGGCGACGAUCUGUAGCGGGUCUGAGAGGAUGAUCCGCCACACUGGGACUGAGACACGGCCCAGACUCCUACGGGAGGCAGCAGUGGGGAAUAUUGGACAAUGGGGGGAACCCUGAUCCAGCCAUGCCGCGUGUGUGAAGAAGGCCUUAUGGUUGUAAAGCACUUUAAGCGAGGAGGAGGCUACUUUAGUUAAUACCUAGAGAUAGUGGACGUUACUCGCAGAAUAAGCACCGGCUAACUCUGUGCCAGCAGCCGCGGUAAUACAGAGGGUGCGAGCGUUAAUCGGAUUUACUGGGCGUAAAGCGUGCGUAGGCGGCUUAUUAAGUCGGAUGUGAAAUCCCCGAGCUUAACUUGGGAAUUGCAUUCGAUACUGGUGAGCUAGAGUAUGGGAGAGGAUGGUAGAAUUCCAGGUGUAGCGGUGAAAUGCGUAGAGAUCUGGAGGAAUACCGAUGGCGAAGGCAGCCAUCUGGCCUAAUACUGACGCUGAGGUACGAAAGCAUGGGGAGCAAACAGGAUUAGAUACCCUGGUAGUCCAUGCCGUAAACGAUGUCUACUAGCCGU